UACGUAGGGGGCUAGCGUUGUCCGGAUUUAUUGGGCGUAAAGAGCAUGUAGGCGGCCAUGUAGGUCCGGUGUGAAAACUCGAGGCUUAACCUCGAGAUGUCAUCGGAAACCAUUUGGCUAGAGUCCGGAAGAGGAGAGUGGAAUUCCUGGUGUAGCGGUGAAAUGCGCAGAUAUCAGGAAGAACACCAAUGGCGAAAGCAGCUCUCUGGGACGGUACUGACGCUGAGACGCGAAAGCGUGGGGAGCGAACAGG
rnacentral:rRNA from 1 species